GAGACCUAAGCGAACAAUACAAGUCGGGAGAAGCCUUCAGAAGCUAAUGGCUCCAUCGGAGCCGCCCCCUGAAGCUGGGCCCUCAUUACUGUUCCCAUAAUACACUUCCCAUGAUAAAUUUCUCCCUAUACAUUGUUAAAAUCAGUACCAGCCGUCACUGGGCUGCUCUGCAGUAUUUAUUAUACUUAUAUAAUUGCUGUUCUACUAUACGUUAAUUCAAUAAAACACCAUUCAUGCGCGUCACUAUUAGACCGACGGAAGCCGGCGCUCUUCGGAGUGUCCUGCAAAUACCGAAUCUAGCCAAAUGCCUCGUCAUCUAAUUAGUGACGCGUAUGAAUGGUUCAACAAGAUUCCUUUUGUCCCUAUCUACUAUCUAGCGAAACCACAGCUAAAGGAACGGGCUUGGCAAAAUCAGCGGGGAAAGAAGACCCUGUUGAGCUUGACUCUAGUCUGACUCUGUGAAGAGACAUGAAAGG
rnacentral:ncRNA from 1 species